GUAGACAGUAUGAUGACCACACUCUUUUUUAUUAAUAGAUCGCUAAACAGCCGAGGGUCAAGGACAGCUUGAAGACGUUGAUAGCGUAUGUAUUGGUGUGAUUCAAUCGAUUUGACAGAUGAGAGACAUGGGCUGUCUUUAUUUAAGAUGCAUCGCCUAUAACAAGCCUGCGGUAUCACCAACAAGGUCAUUACUGGCGUUUUCACUAACCGGUGUCGUGUCUUCAACUGUUAAACGUUUGUGAGACGAGAAAGGUGCGGUUUAAAAACGACAGUUGAUUUACUUGUCAUGGUUAAGGUGAAGCCAACUGAAAUUGCGUGGAAGCGAUCAUAUUUUUGAGCUUAUAAAUCGCGUUUGGUGUGAAGAUAGGCGCUGCCACUCUCUCGCGCGACAAACAGACGCUUCUUCCACUCACGACGCGUGACCACACACACAUAUCUGUCUUUUCUUCCUGGAUACUCAGAUGAUGCUAUCGAAAUCUGCAAGUUACGCUGAAUUGCAUUUUUGCUACACCAACAUGGGAAUGCAGUAACUGGAAAUAGUUCCGAAUUGAUUUUUUUCAGUAGGCUACGUUUGCUCAGCUUGAAACAGACUUUAUUUUAUUUUUUCAACAUGAUAGACGAGAGAAUCAUUUGGAGGAACUUUUUCACGCCCACACCUGACGAUUUGCCUCGACUUUUUCAGAAUGGGUCAACUGAGGAACCCAUUUGGACCACCACCGUGGCGCACAUAGGACGUCCGGACCCCAGACUGCCGAGUUUAUCCACAUAUCUUGGACUUUUUGUGUGUUUGCUGCUGUUUCUUUUGGCCUUAAUGAUUGUGAUGCUUUACCGGAUGAAACACACAAUCGCCCCGUUACCGUCAGACGUGGAGAGCGCGGGGCAAACGGAGAUGUUUCCUGAGGAUCAUGGGAGCGAAGUAUCCAUAAAUUCUGCUGACUGAUCUCAUCCAACCCUCAUUUGCCUGUUACGUUUGCGGAAGGUCUGUUUGUUGUGUGUGUUUGACAAAAUAUGUGGUUGCAAAACUGGAGUAUAUUAAUAGUAUCUCAAAUGUAAUAUUGCAAUUCUGUUCUGUUUGUCCAAUUAUGAGUAGAGUAUGUGAAUAUGAGUGUGUAUAUGGAUGAAUUUCAUGUGGGGGGUCAUAUUUCACCCCAUAAUGAAAAAGAAAAUAAAUGAUUUAGGACCACUAAUAUGGAAAAAAAACUGUACAACAAUUAAAGCCAUCCUAUGCUGAUACAAGCAUUUUUCGUUAAAUUAGCAUGAAUUAAAUUCAGUUCAGACAAACACUGCCACGAUUUAUAAUUGCUCUUGUACUUGGCAAAUGUAUUUCACUGUUAUCAUGACAAAUUAUGUUGUUUUUUUCUUUAUGUUGACAUUGUUUGAAGAGGAGAACUGGCUCGCCUGGUGUACACUGAAUUGAGUUUUUUGUCUGUUCAACUAAUGUACUGGAAAAUGUGGUAACAUCUAAAAAAGCUGGUUUUGUUGCAAUGAAAUAAAUUGUUUAAGAUUA